UACAGAGGUCCCGAGCGUUGUUCGGAUUCAUUGGGCGUAAAGGGUGCGUAGGCGGCGGAGCAAGUCUGAUGUGAAAUCCCGGGGCUCAACCCCGGAACUGCAUUGGAUACUGCUUUGCUAGAGUACUGGAGAGGGAACUGGAAUUUACGGUGUAGCAGUGAAAUGCGUAGAGAUCGUAAGGAAGGCCAGUGGCGAAGGCGAGUUCCUGGACAGUAACUGACGCUGAGGCACGAAGGCCAGGGGAGCAAACGGG
rnacentral:rRNA from 1 species